UACAGAGGUCUCAAGCGUUGUUCGGAUUCAUUGGGCGUAAAGGGUGCGUAGGCGGCGCGGUAAGUCGGGUGUGAAAUCUUGGAGCUUAACUCCGAAACUGCAUUCGAUACUGCCGUGCUUGAGGACUGGAGAGGAGACUGGAAUUCAUGGUGUAGCAGUGAAAUGCGUAGAGAUCAUGAGGAAGACCAGUGGCGAAGGCGGGUCUCUGGACAGUUCCUGACACUGAGGCACGGAGGCCAGGGGGAGCAAACGGGG
rnacentral:rRNA from 1 species